UACAGAGGUCUCAAGCGUUGUUCGGAUUCAUUGGGCGUAAAGGGCGCGUAGGCUGCGGGGCAAGUCGGGUGUGAAAUCUCAGAGCUCAACUCUGAAACUGCACUCGAUACUGCUUUGCUCGAGGACUGGAGAGGAGAUUGGAAUUCACGGUGUAGCAGUGAAAUGCGUAGAGAUCAUGAGGAAGACCAGUGGCGAAGGCGGGUCUCUGGACAGUUCCUGACACUGAGGCACGAAGGCCAGGGGAGCAAACGGG
rnacentral:rRNA from 1 species